GAUAACCGUGGUAAUUCUAGAGCUAAUACAUGCAAUUAAGCCCGACUUAUGGAAGGGCUGUAUUUAUUAGAUAACAAACCGAUAUUCCUUUGGUCUAUUGAGGUGAAUCAUAGUAACUGAUCGAAUCGUGGCAUGCCGCGAUAAAUCAUUCAAGUUUCUGACCCAUCAGCUGUCGAUGGUAGUGUAUUGGACUACCAUGGCUUUUACGGGUGACGGAGGAUUAGGGUUCGAUUCCGGAGAGGGAGCCUGAGAAACGGCUACCACAUCUAAGGAAGGCAGCAGGCGCGUAAAUUACCCAAUCCCGACUCGGGGAGGUAGUGACAAGAAAUAACGGACCGGGUCUUCGAUCCGGGAUUGCAAUGAGUUAAAUCCAAAUCCCUUUGCGAAAUCGAUUGGAGGGCAAGUCUGGUGCCAGCAGCCGCGGUAAUUCCAGCUCCAAUAGCGUAUAUUAAAGUUGUUGCAGUUAAAAAGCUCGUAGUUGGAUUUCUGGGGGGCGCAGAUUGUCCGCAGACGCGUGUGCAGAUGCGCCCUUUCAUCCUUCUGUUAACGUCUCUUGACAUUCAUUUGUUGGUGGCGGGCUCAGAUAUUUUACCUUGAGAAAAUUAGAGUGUUUCAGGCAGGCUCGCGUCGGAAUACAUUAGCAUGGAAUAAUAGAAUAGGACUCAGUCCUCCUUUGUUGGUUUGAGGGGUCAGAGUAAUGGUUAAUAGGGAUAGUUGGGGGCAUUAGUAUUUGACUGUCAGAGGUGAAAUUCUCGGAUUUGUUAAAGACUAACUUAUGCGAAAGCAUUUGCCAAGGAUGUUUCAUUAAUCAAGAACGAAAGUUNGGGAUCAAAGACGAUCAGAUACCGUCCUAGUCUUAANNUAAACUAUGCC
rnacentral:rRNA from 1 species